GAUGAAGAACGUAGCGAAAUGCGAUAAGUAGUGUGAAUUGCAGAAUUCAGUGAAUCAUCGAAUCUUUGAACGCACAUUGCGCCCCUUGGUAUCCCGAGGGGCAUGCCUGUUCGAGCGUCAUCUCACCACUCAAGCCUGGCUUGGUGUUGGGCGACGUCCCCUUUGGGGACGCGCCUCGAAACGCUCGGCGGCGUGGCACCGGCUUUAAGCGUAGCAGAAUCUUUCGCUUUGGAAGUCGGGGCCCCGUCUGCCGGAAGACCUACUCGCAAGGUUGACCUCGGAUCAGGCAGGGAUACCCGCUGAACUUAAGCAUAUCAAUAAGCGGAGGA
rnacentral:misc_RNA from 1 species